rnacentral:rRNA from 1 species
GACGAACGCUGGCGGCGUGCUUAACACAUGCAAGUCGAACGGAAAGGCCCUGCCUUUGUGGGGUGCUCGAGUGGCGAACGGGUGAGUAACACGUGAGUAACCUGCCCUUGACUUUGGGAUAACUUCAGGAAACUGGGGCUAAUACCGGAUAGGAGCUCCUGCUGCAUGGUGGGGGUUGGAAAGUUUCGGCGGUUGGGGAUGUACUCGCGGCUUAUCAGCUUGUUGGUGGGGUAGUGGCUUACCAAGGCUUUGACGGGUAGCCGGCCUGAGCGGGUGACCGGCCACAUUGGGCCUGAGAUACGGCCCAGACUCCUACGGGACGCAACAGUGGGGUAUAUUGCACAAUGGGCGGAAGCCUGAUGCAGCCACGCCGCGUGCGGGGUGACGGCCUUCGGUUUGUAAACCGCUUUCGCCUGUGCCGAAGCGUUAGUGACGGUACUGGGUGAAGAAGCACCGGCUAACUACGUG